UCGGGAAUUUUGGGCAAUGGGCGAAAGCCUGACCCAGCAACGCCGCGUGAGGGAUGAAGUAUUUCGGUAUGUAAACCUCGAAAGAAUGGGAAGAAUAAAUGACGGUACCAUUUAUAAGCUCCGGCUAACUACGUGCCAGCAGCCGCGGUAAUACGUAGGGAGCAAGCGUUGUUCGGAUUUACUGGGCGUAAAGGGCGCGUAGGCGGCGCGGUAAGUCACUUGUGAAAUCUCUGAGCUUAACUCAGAACGGCCAAGUGAUACUGCUGGGCUAGAGUGCGGAAGAGGCAACCGGAAUUCUUGGUGUAGCGGUGAAAUGCGUAGAUAUCAAGAGGAACACCGGCGGUGUAGACGGCUUGCUAGACCAUAACUGACGCUGAGGCACGAAAGCGUGGGUAGCAAACA
rnacentral:rRNA from 1 species